rnacentral:rRNA from 1 species
UACGUAGGGUGCGAGCGUUGUCCGGAAUUAUUGGGCGUAAAGAGCUCGUAGGCGGUUUGUCGCGUCGGCCGUGAAAACUUGGGGCUUAACUCCAAGCUUGCGGUCGAUACGGGCAGACUUGAGUUCGGCAGGGGAGACUGGAAUUCCUGGUGUAGCGGUGAAAUGCGCAGAUAUCAGGAGGAACACCGGUGGCGAAGGCAGGUCACUGGGCCGCAACUGACGCUGAGGAGCGAAAGCAUGGGGAGCGAACAGG